rnacentral:rRNA from 1 species
UACAGAGGUGGCAAGCGUUGUUCGGAAUUACUGGGCGUAAAGGGCGCGUAGGCGGUUUAUUAAGUUGGAUGUGAAAUCCCUGGGCUUAACCUAGGAACUGCAUUCGAUACUGAUAGACUGGAGUGCUGUAGAGGGUAGUGGAAUUUCCGGUGUAGCGGUGAAAUGCGUAGAUAUCGGAAGGAACACCAGUGGCGAAGGCGGCUACCUGGACAGACACUGACGCUGAGGCGCGAGAGCGUGGGGAGCAAACAGG